CUGGUUUCUCCUGAGAGGCUGUAGCAGCUUCUUUUGGUUUAUGCUGACCUAGUGUUGCAGGACCCCAGGGCUCCCUCAUGAACCUUCUCAGUGUGGAUUCAGUCUUCUCAGUGCAGAAGUUGUCGGGAUUUCAGCUGCCUUCCUCCAUCGUCAGCAGCGGCUCCAUCCUUACUCUGUGGUUCACGACAGACUUCGCUGUGAGUGCCCAGGGAUUCAAAGCGCUGUAUGAAGGUAAGGUGCUUGCUGUGCACCCCCACACCCCCUGUGAAGAUGGCUUCACACUGGCCAGGAAGGCUGUUCACACAAACCGAAGCUGCUGCUUCCCGCGUGGUU
rnacentral:lncRNA from 1 species